rnacentral:rRNA from 1 species
CCGAGUCUUAACCGGGCGUUAAGUUGCAGGGUAUAGACCCGAAACCCGGUGAUCUAGCCAUGGGCAGGUUGAAGGUUGGGUAACACUAACUGGAGGACCGAACCGACUAAUGUUGAAAAAUUAGCGGAUGACUUGUGGCUGGGGGUGAAAGGCCAAUCAAACCGGGAGAUAGCUGGUUCUCCCCGAAAGCUAUUUAGGUAGCGCCUCGUGAAUUCAUCUCCGGGGGUAGAGCACUGUUUCGGCAAGGGGGUCAUCCCGACUUACCAACCCGAUGCAAACUGCGAAUACCGGAGAAUGUUAUCACGGGAGACACACGGCGGGUGCUAACGUCCGUCGUGAAGAGGGAAACAACCCAGACCGCCAGCUAAGGUCCCAAAGUCAUGGUUAAGUGGGAAACGAUGUGGGAAGGCCCAGACAGCCAGGAUGUUGGCUUAGAAGCAGCCAUCAUUUAAAGAAAGCGUAAUAGCUCACUGGUCGAGUCGGCCUGCGCGGAAGAUGUAACGGGGCUAAACCAUGCACCGAAGCUGCGGCAGCGACACUGUGUGUUGUUGGGUAGGGGAGCGUUCUGUAAGCCUGUGAAGGUGUGCUGUGAGGCAUGCUGGAGGUAUCAGAAGUGCGAAUGCUGACAUAAGUAACGAUAAAGCGGGUGAAAAGCCCGCUCGCCGGAAGACCAAGGGUUCCUGUCCAACGUUAAUCGGGGCAGGGUGAGUCGACCCCUAAGGCGAGGCCGAAAGGCGUAGUCGAUGGGAAACAGGUUAAUAUUCCUGUACUUGGUGUUACUGCGAAGGGGGGACGGAGAAGGCUAUGUUGGCCGGGCGACGGUUGUCCCGGUUUAAGCGUGUAGGCUGGUUUUCCAGGCAAAUCCGGAAAAUCAAGGCUGAGGCGUGAUGACGAGGCACUACGGUGCUGAAGCAACAAAUGCCCUGCUUCCAGGAAAAGCCUCUAAGCAUCAGGUAACAUCAAAUCGUACCCCAAACCGACACAGGUGGUCAGGUAGAGAAUACCAAGGCGCUUGAGAGAACUCGGGUGAAGGAACUAGGCAAAAUGGUGCCGUAACUUCGGGAGAAGGCACGCUGAUAUGUAGGUGAAGUCCCUCGCGGAUGGAGCUGAAAUCAGUCGAAGAUACCAGCUGGCUGCAACUGUUUAUUAAAAACACAGCACUGUGCAAACACGAAAGUGGACGUAUACGGUGUGACGCCUGCCCGGUGCCGGAAGGUUAAUUGAUGGGGUCAGCGCAAGCGAAGCUCUUGAUCGAAGCCCCGGUAAACGGCGGCCGUAACUAUAACGGUCCUAAGGUAGCGAAAUUCCUUGUCGGGUAAGUUCCGACCUGCACGAAUGGCGUAAUGAUGGCCAGGCUGUCUCCACCCGAGACUCAGUGAAAUUGAACUCGCUGUGAAGAUGCAGUGUACCCGCGGCAAGACGGAAAGACCCCGUGAACCUUUACUAUAGCUUGACACUGAACAUUGAGCCUUGAUGUGUAGGAUAGGUGGGAGGCUUUGAAGUGUGGACGCCAGUCUGCAUGGAGCCGACCUUGAAAUACCACCCUUUAAUGUUUGAUGUUCUAACGUGGACCCGUGAUCCGGGUUGCGGACAGUGUCUGGUGGGUAGUUUGACUGGGGCGGUCUCCUCCUAAAGAGUAACGGAGGAGCACGAAGGUUGGCUAAUCCUGGUCGGACAUCAGGAGGUUAGUGCAAUGGCAUAAGCCAGCUUGACUGCGAGCGUGACGGCGCGAGCAGGUGCGAAAGCAGGUCAUAGUGAUCCGGUGGUUCUGAAUGGAAGGGCCAUCGCUCAACGGAUAAAAGGUACUCCGGGGAUAACAGGCUGAUACCGCCCAAGAGUUCAUAUCGACGGCGGUGUUUGGCACCUCGAUGUCGGCUCAUCACAUCCUGGGGCUGAAGUAGGUCCCAAGGGUAUGGCUGUUCGCCAUUUAAAGUGGUACGCGAGCUGGGUUUAGAACGUCGUGAGACAGUUCGGUCCCUAUCUGCCGUGGGCGCUGGAGAACUGAGGGGGGCUGCUCCUAGUACGAGAGGACCGGAGUGGACGCAUCACUGGUGUUCGGGUUGUCAUGCCAAUGGCACUGCCCGGUAGCUAAAUGCGGAAGAGAUAAGUGCUGAAAGCAUCUAAGCACGAAACUUGCCCCGAGAUGAGUUCUCCCUGACCCUUUAAGGGUCCUGAAGGAACGUUGAAGACGACGACGUUGAUAGGCCGGGUGUGUAAGCGCAGCGAUGCGUUGAGCUAACCGGUACUAAUGAACCGUGAGGCUUAACCUUACAACGCCGAAGGUGUUU